CGGAGGACAAUCAAUUGGCUAGCUGCAAUAUGCGAAAUUUGGCAUUGAAAGCGAAAUGCGUAGUGCAUUAGAGCAGGACUUCCAUCUCGCUCGCUCCAAUGGGGUGGUGCGGGAGAGCUAUCGAUAAUAGAGUUAUCGCUUUCCAGCACUGGUCGCAGCUGUUCAUAAGUGUAUGUACAAGUGUGUGUGUUCUAGCUAGGAGGGUGUGUAAGUCCGAAGAUUUGUCUUGGCUUUGGUCAACAGCCUUUAGACAAGAGAACCCCACAUCCGCACGCAGUUUAUUACGGCAGUCAUCCAAUUUCCCCAACCGCACAUACAUAUGUACCAAACCAUGUAGAUUUCUGCACUUCCAUGUCAGUGUGCGUGCAUCUGGAAAGUUCCUGGAAUGAAUAAGACUGAUGAAAUCGGAUGUAGACUGAUGUCAGCCCCCUAACCCUUGAUGUAACCGUAACCCCUUAUAAUGUAAAUUGGGUCCCGAAUAAACAUUAUUUAUUUUUUAUACUUA